rnacentral:lncRNA from 10 species
UAGAAGAACAAGAAAGAAACUGGGGGCCCUCCCUCAUCUGAUGAAGGCUGUCUCCCACCAGCACUCCACCGUGAGCGAACCCCAGUGUUGCCCUGAACCCCAAAGGGUCUACUCCUGACUGUCCCUGCCUAAGCUGUGGCACGGCCCAGAUGCUCCAGGUCAAAGCUGUUUCAAAGAAAGUCUGGGACAACAAUGAAUUAUUUACUACAUGUCAUAUUUUUGUUGCUUUUUUUUUCUUUCGAGAUGAGGUCUGGCUCUGUUGCCCAGACUGGAGUGGGAAUGUAGGUGAGCACAACCACAUCCAGCUAAUUAAAAAAAGUUUUCUUGUAGAGAUAGGGGUCUUGCCAUAUUGCCCAGGCUGGUCUCAAACUCCUGGACAUAAGUGAUCCUCCUGCCUUGGCCUCCCAAACUGUUGGCAUUGCAGGUGUGAGCCACUGCACCUGACCCCAUCUGUAUUUCCUUUCCACUCAUCUGAUGCCGAAAAUGGACUUUCAGUGUGUUUUCCGGGAGCAUCGUGCUGCUAGUUGUCUACCCCGCAUGUAUUUAUCGGUAGCAACAGAACCCAGUGCCCACUGGAGGCAGAGGGUGUGCCUGGCUGCUCUUCUAGGGAUGUGUGGCUGUGCCAGGCCAGGCCUGCAAGACAUGAGACCUGGGACUCCACACAGGCCCCAUGAAGCACGUCACUUCUUUCUACUUCCGCUGAGCUGCUUCAGUGGACAUCACCGACUCUGACAUGGCAAAGGCCUGGACACUGAAACAGCACUCAGGGCCUGGCCGGCCGCCUGCUGGUGCGCAGACAGGAGACAGUGGGAGGUGAGGGCUGUACUGAGCUCCCGGAGCUCGCCAAGCAGGCUGGCAGCUGUGCAGCCCUGGGAGCGCGGCGGGGCUCUUGGCGGCCUUGGUGACGCCUCAGCCCACAGCGGGGCCUCCCGCCAGGCUCUGGGCUGUGUGAGCCCUCCUUAUGCGCUGUCCUGCUCCUCACGUGCCUCCCCAACUGCCCUCAAGGGGGUCCUGCACGGGCGCCCCCAGCAAACUCCUACUCAACAGGAUCCCAAAACAGGUGAAAACAAGGGCUUUGGCCUCAAUUCCCUUCCCACUCUCCACGUGGCAGGAUGUAAGAGCAGCAGAUGAAUGUAUGCAUUGGGAAAGACAAGCUGGGCCGGAUUAGAAGCGCGCAGCAGGCGGCCUGCCCUCCAGCAGGCGUGGAACUGCCCUCCCUGACGGGCCCUAAGCCGUUUCCAGGACUUGCCGGUUCCCACGCCCAGCAUCUCUG